CUUCCUCCCCGCUGAAAGUGCUUUACAAUCCGAAGACCUUCUUCAUACACGCGGCAUGGCUGGAUCAGGCUUGCGCCCAUUGUGCAAUAUUCCCCACUGCUGCCUCCCGUAGGAGUCUGGACCGUGUCUCAGUUCCAGUGUGGCUGGUCAUCCUCUCAGACCAGCUAGGGAUCGUCGCCUAGGUGGGCCAUUACCCCGCCUACUAGCUAAUCCCAUCUGGGUUCAUCCGAUAGUGAGAGGCCCGAAGGUCCCCCUCUUUGGUCUUGCGACGUUAUGCGGUAUUAGCCACCGUUUCCAGUGGUUAUCCCCCUCUAUCGGGCAGAUCCCCAGACAUUACUCACCCGUCCGCCACUCGUCACCCAAGAGCAAGCUCUCUGUGCUACCGUCCGACUUGCAUGUGUUAGGCCUGCCGCCAGCGUUCAAUCUGAGCCAGGAUCAAACUCU
rnacentral:rRNA from 1 species